rfam:Peniophora sp. CONT PENSPscaffold_107_Cont174, whole genome shotgun sequence.
GCCCGCCUAGCUCAAUCGGAUAGAGCGUCAGACUCUUACCAGGCGGGUCAAUCUCAAAUGGAGAUCAUCUGAAGGCUGCGAGUUCGACCCUCGCGGUGGGCU